rfam:Pristionchus pacificus strain PS312 contig5913, whole genome shotgun sequence.
GGUCCUAUGGCCUAAUGGAUAAGGCGUCGGAUUUCGGAUCCGAGGAUUGCAGGUUCGAGUCCUGCUAGGGUCG